rnacentral:ncRNA from 1 species
CCGUUCAACUUGUUCCUCCGUGCAAGACGUACAUUGAGGGGAGCUAACGGGAG